UGUAAGAUCCCACAUCGGUUGGAAGGAAAACAAAAUAUUCUUUAAACGUGUGGAAACCUCUUCCUAAUAGACAUGGGGAAAUCAAGAAGAGAAAGCUAGGGCCCUCUUAUCUCUUCCUUCUCCGAGCUCGGGUUAUGGAAGAAGGAACCGAGAAGAAAGUAUCAGCAACAACAGGUUUUAUUACGGGACAGCUCAUGAUGUUCAUAUCGAUCUAUUAUGCGCCUCUGCAUCUAGCAUUGGGUAGACCUCAUACAAUAACUGUCCUAGCUCUACCGUAUCUUUUGUUUCAUUUCUUCUGGAACAAUCACAAACACUUUUUUGAUUAUGGAUCUACUACCAGAAACUCAAUGCGUAAUCUUAGCAUUCAAUGUGUAUUCCUGAAUAAUCUCAUUUUUCAAUUAUUCAACCAUUUCAUUUUACCA